AUGGAGAAGACCGAGCUGAUCCAGAAGGCCAAGCUGGGGAGCAUGCCGAGCACUAAGACGACAUGGCCACCAACAUGAAAGCCAUGACUGAGCAGGGCACGGAGCUGUCCAAAGAGUUGCAUAACCUGCUUUCGGUGGCCUACAAGAACGUGGACGGGGUGUGUGGGGGGGGGGUAGGUCCUCCUGGAGGGUCAUCUUGAACAUUGAGCAGAAGACCGACACCUCCGACAAGAAGUUGCAGCUGAUCAAGGACUAUUGGGAGAAAGUGGAGUCGGAGCUGAGGUCCAUCUGCACCAUGGGCCUGGAAUUGUUGGAUAAGUAUUUAAUAGCCAGUGCAACUAAUCCCGAGAAUAAGGUCUUCUAUCUGAAAAUAAAGGGAGAUUAUUUCCAAUAUCUUGCUGAAGUAGCUUGUGGUGACGAUCAAAAAGAAACAAUAAAAAAUUCCCAAGGAGCCUACCAAAAGGCUUUUGAUAUAAGCAAGAAAGAGAUGCAGCCUUCGCAUCCAAUCCACCUGGUGUUGGCUCUUAACUUUUCUGUAUUUUACUAUGAGAUCCUAAUAAUCCAGAGCUUGCCUGCACACUGGCUAAAAUGGCUUUUGACGAGGCCAUCGCAGAGCUUGAUACACUGAACGAAGACUCCUACAAAGACAGCACCCUCAUCAUGCAGUUGCUUAGAGACAACUUAACAUUAAUGGACAUCGAACAGUGCAGGAGAAGAAUGUGAUGCAGCAGAGGGGGCCGAAAACUAA